AAGAAAACGAUGACGCCUCACAUGGAAACCCAAGGACGGGCACUUUGGCGCACUUUCCAUCCACUCCUGACUGCAGAGGAUCGUCGUUAUUGGACUUUUUUUUUUUUUUUUUUUUUUGGUCAAGUUUAUGCAGGCAGGAGGAUCCGAGCUGGAGCUGAGAUGCAAUGUGAAGCACUGUUGAGUGAUGGCAAGGCAAACAAGACGCACGCAAGGAGGACGGCGCUUCAUUCCAAUGCCUCGCUUUCCCGGGGACAUGCGUGCGUAAAAGGACUUCUCUGCUUGCCGGGAUUCCCCGAUUGAUUGCUUUUUUUUCCUUCUCUUUUUUUUUUUUAAACGAAGGUCUGGCAGCGCAGGAAAGCAUCACGUUGAGUCCCAAACGUCAGUUUGGAAUGCGACAACAAACACGUUGCAGCCCUUUGAGUAGCCCGCACAUGAGCUGGCUCGGCGGCAGGCGAGCAGAUGGCGCAGCAAAAAGUCGACCCUCCGGCAAUUGAAACCGUCAACCAGAGGAUAGACGUUGCCGUAAGGUGUGACAGCGUCCUUCUGGAAAUGGGCCGCAGUUCAAACGUCAGCAGAUCUGAGAGGACUUACGGUAUAUAUAGUAUGGAAGUGCUUGUAAUGGAGAAGCAUGACAACACUUUUUUUUUAUGCUGCGGGGUGUUGUCAUCCGUCACAGCAGUAAUCAUAACAACACCCGUGGCGAAUAGGUGAAACAAUGCAGACUCAAAGUACGAAUAAAACGACAUAAGUGAGACACAUUACCCCUUGACGGCUGCCAGGAAUGAUACAACAGAAUACUCCUUUUUGUUGUUGUUGUUUUUUUAAAAAGAUGCUAUAAAUACAGUACUUACCUUUUUACCUCCGCCAGAAUAUUAUGUAAUCAUUGCUGUCGGUUAGUUAGCUGUGUAGGCAUCAUUGUAGCAAAAUUGCGUGUGUAAUCUAAUUUGUGUGCGUGCGUACUAAUGUGUGUGUCUGUGCAUCAAUCCGCGUGUUGUCACGCCUAUGGUUCAUGUUUUGUUUUGGUCAUGCUAUGUUUGGUUUUUUGGACAUUUAGUUCUGUUUUUCAUUUCCUUGUUUGUCUUACCAAGCCAACUGAUUUAGUUUUCUGUCAUGUCUGAUCAUGAG